rnacentral:misc_RNA from 1 species
AAGUCAACCUGCGGAAGGAUCAUUAACACAUAUCCAACGUUAAACCCCCGUGAAUAUUAAGCGUGCUCUUACAUCCUUGCACAACAGCAAUCUCUGGUAAAUCAUGUCGAACGGUUUGAUUCAGAGACCUCUGGCUUGUGCGAUACGGCGGAAGCUAAAGGUGUAAUCGAGCGCUAGGUUCAGUGGUUUGGUCUUCCCCUCAAACCACUUCAAUGAAUGUCAGUGUAGGCUCACACGAGCCGGCGUCCAAAUCACCAGGCGCAAGCCUCCCUAAAACCACAUGUCAGCGUAGGCCCUUCUGUCGUGGUUGGGCGUAAAAACGAACAACUGUUAACAAUGGAUAUCUUGGUUCUC